ACGGGAGGCAGCAGUGGGGAAUAUUGCACAAUGGGGGAAACCCUGAUGCAGCGACGCCGCGUGAAGGAAGAAGUAUCUCGGUAUGUAAACUUCUAUCAGCAGGGAAGAAAAUGACGGUACCUGACUAAGAAGCCCCGGCUAAUUACGUGCCAGCAGCCGCGGUAAUACGUAAGGGGCAAGCGUUAUCCGGAUUUACUGGGUGUAAAGGGAGCGUAGACGGAUGGACAAGUCUGAUGUGAAAGGCGGGGGCCCAACCCCCGGACUGCAUUGGAAACUGCCCGUCUUGAGUGCCGGAGAGGUAAGCGGAAUUCCUAGUGUAGCGGUGAAAUGCGUAGAUAUUAGGAGGAACACCAGUGGCGAAGGCGGCUUACUGGACGGUAACUGACGUUGAGGCUCGAAAGCGUGGGGAGCAAACAGGAUUAGAUACCCUGGUA
rnacentral:rRNA from 1 species